GAUGAACGCUGGCGGCGUGCCUAAUACAUGCAAGUCGAGCGAACAGACGAGGAUCUUGCUCCUCUGACGUUAGCGGCGGACGGGUGAGUAACACGUGGAUAACCUACCUAUAAGACUGGGAUAACUUCUGGAAACCGGAGCUAAUACCGGAUAAUAUAUUGAACCGCAUGGUUCAAUAGUGAAAGACGGUUUUGCUGUCACUUAUAGAUGUAUCCGCGCCGCAUUAGCUAGUUGGUAAGGUAACGGCUUACCAAGGCAACGAUGCGUAGCCGACCUGAGAGGGUGAUAGGCCACACGGGAACGGAGAAACGGUCCAGACUCCUAAGGGAGGCAGCAGUAGGGAAUCUUCAGCAAUGGGCGAAAGCUUGACGGAGCAAAGCCGCGUGAGUGAUGAAGGUCUUCGGAUCGUAAAACUCUGUUAUUAGGGAAGAACAAAUGUGUAAGUAACUAUGCACGUCUUGACGGUACCUAAUCAGAAAGCCACGGCUAACUACGUG
rnacentral:rRNA from 1 species